AACUUCAGACAACAUUCGUUCGGACGACAAUGUGAUGUCAAGGCGAAUCAAGAAGUUCUUCAUGCGAUUCCAACACGCUCCUAAUGUACUGGGAAUGUGGGGAGUGCAGCAGCAUCAGUGCAGCACCAAUGGUCAGAUGCGAAGGCUGUGAUAAAUGGUACCACUUCCGUUGCGCGGGACUGUCUAAGGAGCCAGAAACACCGACAUGGCGAUGCAGGUGGUACUGCCUGGUGAGGCCGCGGUCUCCGGAAUCGCCUGCAGACGAAGUCACCUGGCGUCCAUCUGCACAUCACUUGCAGAAGUGAGGCCUGCUGACAGCGUCUGGCAGUGUCGGCAACGUGCCAGACAGCUAUCUGGAGUCCUGCUCACCGCAGGUCGCCGACAGGAGGGGCGACGCAUCGUCUCCGAGGUCGCCUCAGCAUCAGUGAGACCCCACUGGCCGUCUUCUUAGGCUUCAACUAGAUUGCGAACAACCUAUGCUGAGACAACGCCCAUGACGUGUGAUCCGGUACCGCUACCGCACUGCGUGCCUGUGCCCGCCGUGAGCCGCUAGUGCAUGGGUUCGACCAUGAGAAUGUGUGUUUAUGUUGCUUUUACUAUUGUUUAUACGUUGAAGUGACGAAUUGUUUAUUUUUCGCAAGCCUCCGCUGUCCGGUUGCCUGCAGCUCCAUGCAACGUCAGCUGUACUGUUGUUUUAAUGUUGUCUCUCCGCUCAGCUGUACUGUUGCCUCUCCGCUCAUAACAACCUAUGCUGAGACAACGCCCAUGACGUGUGAUCCGGUACCGCUACCGCACUGCGUGCCUGUACCCGUCGCAAGCCUCCGCUGUCCGGUUGCCUGCAGCUCCAUGCAACGCCAGCUGUACUGUUGUUUUAAUGUUGUCUCUCCGCUCAGCUGUACUGUUGCCUCUCCGCUCAUAACAACCUAUGCUGAGACAACGCCCAUGACGUGUGAUCCGGUACCGCUACCACACUGCGUGCCUGUGCCCGCCGUGAGCCGCUAGUGCAUGGGUACGACCAUGAGAAUAUGUGUUUAUGUUGCUUUUUAUACUAUUGUUUAUACGUUGAAGUGACGAAUUGUUUAUUUUUCGCAAGCCUCCGCUGUCCGGUUGCCUGCAGCUCCAUGCAACGCCAGCUGUACUGUUGUUUUAAUGUUGUCUCUCCGCUCAGCUGUACUGUUGCCUCUCCGCUCAUAUAUGACACCCUCUAUAUGAAUGGCACUACUGAUUGUCACACCCACUGUCCGUAUUGUCCGUAGUGGUGUCUACGCCCAUGUUAAUACAGCGUGCAGAAUCCAGAU